rnacentral:rRNA from 1 species
AAUGAACGCUGGCGGCGUGCGUAACACAUGCAAGUCGAACGUGAAAGUCCCCUUCGGGGGAUGAGUAAAGUGGCAAACGGGUGAGUAACACGUGGGUAACCUGCCCUCUGGUGGGGGAUAACCCUGCGAAAGCGGGGCUAAUACCGCAUAACAAGUCGCUAAAUAAUUAGUCGACUUCAAAGCCUUCGGGCGCUGGAGGAGGGGCCCGCGUCCCAUUAGCUAGUUGGUAGGGUAACGGCCUACCAAGGCUGCGAUGGGUAGCCGGCCUGAGAGGGUGUCCGGCCACACUGGAACUGAGACACGGUCCAGACUCCUACGGGAGGCAGCAGUGGGGAAUUUUGCGCAAUGGGCGAAAGCCUGACGCAGCGACGCCGCGUGGGUGAUGAAGUUCUUUGGAACGUAAAGCCCUGUCAGGAGGGACGAAGCUCUGACGGUACCUCCAAAGGAAGCCCCGGCUAACUCCGUG